rnacentral:SRP_RNA from 1 species
GGGGAGUACGGGGAGUACCUGUAGCCCCGAUCAUCCCGGGACCCAGAGAGAGGCCAGGAAGGGAGGAGGUGGGCGCACCGUCGUUGUCCGUCCUCCCCGCGGUGAUUUGGGCGUUGACAUUGAGCCUAUCGAGGAGGCUUCCGCAACCGGGGC